AAACUUACCUGGCAGGGGAGAUACAAUGGAUCAUAAAAGUGGUUUUCCCACAGAUAAGGCUUAUAAGGUGCACUCUGGUUGCACUGUCCUUCCCCUGAGAUUUCCCCAAAUGUGAGAAACUUGAUUGCAUAAUUUGUGAUAGUGGAGACUGCAUUAGCGUUCUCCC